AUGGCCUGGACUCCUCUCCUCCUACUGCUCCUCUGCCACUGCACAGGUUCCAUCUCCCAAUUUGUGGUGACCCAGCCACCCUCCCUCUCUGCAUCUCUGGGAACAACAGGCAGACUCACCUGCACUCUGAACAGUGAAAGGAUUGAUAUUUACCCCAUAUCCUGGUACCAACAAAAGACAGGGAGCCCUCCUCAUUACCUCCUUACCUUUGUAACAGAUUCAAAUAAGCAUGAAGGCUCUGGGGUCCCCAAUCGCUUCUCUGGAUCCAAAGAUGCCUCUGCCAAUGCAGGGAUUUUGCUCAUCUCUGAGCUGCAACCUGAGGACGAGGCUGACUACUACUGUCAGUUGUUUGAUGUUGGUGAUGGACACAGUGAUACAAAUAGAUGA